rnacentral:lncRNA from 1 species
AGUAUGCUAUGACAAUAUACCAUAAACUGAGUGGCUUAUAAACAACAGAAAAAUCUCACAGUCGUGGAGGCUGGGAAGUUCAAGGUCAAAGUACCAGCAGAUUAAGAUGUCUGAGAGGAAGUCACUGUCCAUCAUACAGUGCUUUAAUUUGAGAGGCUGAACUGAUGUCUGUGGAGAAAAGAACACGAAGGAAUAAUGUAAUAUGAAACUCCCUAACAUGAUACAUAUACAAAGACUAUUGAGAAAUCAAUGUGGAAAAUGCAAAACUAAGGGAGAAAGCAUUUUGAACCACUCAUCUAAGAAUAUGAUGCCUCUUCUGGGAACCCAGCCACCAUGUUGUAAGGACGCUCAGAACACAUAAAAACGUGACAUUUAGAUAUACCAGCCAAUAGGAACACUGGCUAAAACCCAGCUAAGGUUUCAGCUAAGCAGCGAGCAUCAACCACCAAGUGUAAGAGUGAACAAGCCUUCAGAUAAUUCUAGCCUCCAGCCUUCAAGCUGUCUUAGGUAAUGCUGACUGGAGUAGAGAUGACUGUCCUCACAGGUUCCUGCCCAAAUUGCAGAUUUGCAGGCAAAGUAUGUGCUGUUAAUAUUAUAAGCCACAAAAUUUUGGGGUGGUUUGUUACAUAAUAGAUAACCAGAACACGGAAUCUCAGAAAUUAAAUGCAAUGCUACCAAUUUUAGAAUCAAAAAAGGUUUUCAAAGGAUGUCAUCUGAGAUUUUCAAAAUACAAAGCUGAAAUGUGUCC